rnacentral:rRNA from 1 species
AGAGUUUGAUCCUGGCUCAGGAACAACGCUGGCGGCGUGCCUAAUGCAUGCAAGUCGAACGGGAACCCCUUCGGGGGUCGACCGUGGCGGACGGGUGAGGAACACGUGGGGAACCUAGCCACGCGCGGGGGAUAACGGCGGGAAACCGCUGGUAAUACCGCAUGGGCUUCCAGGCCGGUGGGGCGUGGAAGCAAAGGUCUUCGGACUGUGCGUGGGGGGCCCUGCGGCCUAUCAGCUGGUUGGUGGGGUAGUGGCCUACCAAGGCGAUGACGGGUCGCUGGUCUGAGAGGACGAUCAGCCACACGGGGACUGAGACACGGCCCCGACUCCUACGGGAGGCAGCAGCAAGGAAUUUUCCGCAAUGGGCGCAAGCCUGACGGAGCGACGCCGCGUGGGGGACGACGCAUUUCGGUGUGUAAACCCCUUUUCUGGGGGAAGAAGGCAGUGACGGUACCCCAGGAAGAAGGACCGGCUAACUACGUGCCAGCAGCCGCGGUAAGACGUAGGGUCCGAGCGUUGUCCGGAGUUACUGGGCGUAAAGGGCGCGUAGGCGGUUGUCUACGUCCCACGUGAAAGCCCCUGGCUCAACCAGGGAGGGUCGUGGGAAACGGGGGAACUGGAGGCAGCGAGAGGCUGGUGGAAUUCCCGGUGUAGUGGUGAAAUGCGUAGAGAUCGGGAGGAACACCGGUGGCGAAGGCGGCCAGCUGGCGCUGACCUGACGCUGAGGCGCGAAGGCGUGGGGAGCGAACGGGAUUAGAUACCCCGGUAGUCCACGCAGUAAACGAUGUGGACGAGGUGUGGGGGGGAGUUGACCCCCUCCGUGCCGGCGCUAACGCAGUAAGUCCACCGCCUGGGGAGUACGGCCGCAAGGCUAAAACUCAAAGGAAUUGACGG